UAAAGUUGCUAAAAAGAAAGCAGUAAAUCCAAGAAUUGGAUGUAUUUCAGAGUCUAACAAAGGAAGAACGUGAAUCCGAUCAAGAAAGGGAGAAUAAUAUCUGAACAUAAACUGAUAUUGUAGUUAUAGCUGCAAUGCAGAGCUAUCCAGGAUUGUGUCCAUUCAGAAGAACAUUAAAACAUUUAAGCUGCAAUCUAUCCCAGCCUGGUAUUUGGAUCAAUGGAUGGAGUGAGCAUCAGAAAGUCAGAACAGUGUAAAUUUAAGGGAUACGUAUGGAAUCCUGAUGACUUACAAAGCAAAAAUCAUGUAGCUUGCAGCUUGCUUUAGCUGCCAACUACAUUUUAAAGUGAUCCCCAAUGAAGGGUCAACAAAGACCAAGCCAAAGUCAGCAGUUCUCUCAGAAAAGACAAGAUUUGAACAGAUCCAUAAAAGGCAAUGCUGUGAUCCAGUUUGGGUGGGAGCAAAUUGUGCCACAUCACCAUUCCUUUUAGUAAUUGUCUUUUGUAUAUUGGCUGUGCACUUUCAGUUACAUUCCCAAUAAAAAUACCUUUCAAAUUAUUAAA